rnacentral:lncRNA from 1 species
GUCACGACCCGGAACCUCCCUCAGGCCCAUGACAAUCGCCGCGACGUCCCGAUUGACACUCAUUAUCCGGAAUGCCAAUCGGAACCCCGCAAGACUUACAUAUCAGUUUCUUUCCUUUCCUGUGAGCAAUCAUUGUCAAAUAUUGAGUUUUUAGAGAAUAUAUACUAUUUUAGAUCAAAAACAAUCAAAAUAAAAUUUUUGCCACACAGGGGUAUUUUGGUCAUUUUUUUCUCAAAAAUUUCGAAACUGGCUAAAACGUAAUAUACAAGUACGAAACACAUAAUUCAUAUUCAAAAUGAGUUUAAAAGUCUAAAAUCUUCAUUUAAAACGAAAUUACGGUUAUUUGAAUAUAAUAAGAAAAUAAAAGAAAUAUUAAGGAAAAUAUUCUAUUUUCUUAUAAAACAAUAUUUAUAGAGUUGUACGUGAAUAAUUUUUAUAGCGUAAAAGCUAAAUAAAUUUAUACAUACUGAAAUACAGUAAGCCAAAAUAUUUAAUUUAAUUUACAAUAACAAAAGGGCCCCCGAAUAAACAAAAGUAAAGAGGACUGUGAACCUACGAUUUGGAAAAUGCAGAUCCAAUGGUAGUCCUCGAUAAGAUAAGCUAUCUACAGUCUAUACUGAACCUGAAAUGGGUGGAAAGGAGUUGUGUGAGAUUUUGCAAUUCCAAUGAGUAAAUAGACAUUAUCAUAAAUAUCUAAAGGCAAGUAAAAUAGAGGCAAGUUUAAACAAUAAAUUUCAACCCAUUUCAUAAUGUUUUCAAUUUAUUUCUUAAACCAUAAAAUAUUUGUAAUUUACCAAAACAAUUGUUAAGGCUUAUGUCUUUUAUUAAAACAAGGCUCAAGCCAAAACUAAUCCUCGGGGAUACCUUGGCCGAGGCAUCUAACCGAGUCCGCGAAGGGUGUUAAAAUAUUCACACGUGAAACACAUUUUUAUUUUUAAAAACCAGUCGUUCCUUGGCGUUGGCCGAGUUACACAUUCACGUGGGGGUUCGACGUGAAGUGAGCUCUAAUACUACCCCAGGAGUUACCCUCCUCGCCUCUACAACCGGAGUAACUAUAUAAUUGGGUUUACCGUGCCCCUUUAAUAGGCAGUCCACAGAAACCCGUCACUGCAGUGACUAACCCACCAAUUUUAAUAAAAUUUCGACAGUAUAACGUGGCUUUUAUUUAUUUAUCCAGCCUGCAUAGUAAAACAACUUACAUAAAUUUCCCAAUGCAUUCACAAAAUAUAGCCACAUAUACUCAUUUCUCAUAAGCCAUUCCUAGGAAAAUAUAUAUUUUUCAAGUCAAUUUGUAGCCUCCAAUUACUCAAUUUCAUAAUCAAUACAAUAUAUUUUUAUUUGUCACAUUUAUUCCUAAAACAUCAAAAAUCCCGUUUUAAUCUCGUUCUUAUUUCAUAAAAUACAUAAAGGGCAUUUAAAAAUAAACUCUAGAUAAUUUACAAUAAUAAUAAGUUUACUCACCGUUUGUACAAACUAAAAGCUUUCUAAGCGCCCCGAUCACUACUCGUCGGGUACGACUUCUUUGCCUUUUCCGGAAGGCUCUCCUCCUAGACACAUUACAAAAAUUUACACAAUUCAUCACAUUGAUGCUAAAUCACUAUAUAAUUAACUUAAAUCCUAUACUAAUGCAUGGUAUGAAAUGCAAUAGCCUAAAACGGCUUAAACGCGGUAUUAACCUAUUUUUGGCACUUUGCCCGAUAAAUUGCUAACGCGCUCCAUUUUAGCUCUAAAUCAUCCCAUUCUCUCUCCAACAUUUCUAACCAUUAAAUAUCAGCCAAUAACCUUCUAAAAACAACAAAAUCAGCUCACUCCCUUCCUUGGAAAAUUCGGCCAAAAAUGGGACAUUAACUCGGUUAAUUUUCUACUUUGUUUUUCUAUCACGUUUAAUCGUUUUUCAUCAUUUUCUCUUCAUUUUCCUUAGAAUAAAAUCAAUUCAUCAUCAUUGUACAGCAUUGAGCAUCCAGCCAAGAGUGGGUAUUGUGAAAAUUUAAUGAUUUCUUGCCCAAUUUAAUUUCUAAACACAUUUAACUAACUAAAACUAUCAAUUUAACUAAAAAUCAAAACCUAAAAAUUUCAAUUUCUCUCCCCUAGAAUUUCGUCCAGCCCUUGAUAUCACUUUUUGAUCUCUCUCCUCAAGCAUGCUAAAUGGAAAUAAAGGCAUAGGAAAGGUAGAAAUCAAGCUAAAAUCGAAAAAUCUUACCGUUAGACGCGUAAACGGUCGAAAACCGCGAAUUUCCCUUUGAAUUUUCUUGUUUCUCUUUGGUUUUUCUUUUUUUCUUCCUUUCCUCUCUAUUUCCUCUCUUGUUCUUCCUUAUGGCCGGCCAGCACUUAAAAUUUGGGUUUAAAUGGGCUGACUUUUCAUUAAAAUAAUAUUAUAUCAUUAAAAAAUGCCACAUGUCACUUUCCCAUUGGCCCAUUUUUAAAAUUUCAUCCAUUUGUUUCCAAAUUUUCACCAUACACUUGUCUCAUAUAUUCAUAGCUUAGAUAAAAUUCUCAGACUCAUCCAAAGUCUCGGUGGAGUAAUUUUUGAAAUUUACACUUUUGCCCCCGUAAAAGUCAAAAAUUACAUUUUUGCCCCAAAAAUUGAAAAAUUGCCCAUAGACAUAUUUUUCAUCCCUUAUACUCAUACCAUUCUCCAAUUUGUCAAAUUUGAUCUAAAUUCUCUCAAAAUCUCAAAUUUUGUCCGUGGGUGGCAAAAUUACGAUUUUGCCCCUACACUCCAAAAAUCACCAGAAUUAAACUUUUUCACUUCCUAUCAUUAAAUUAUACUCCAAAUAGUUAAUCUUGGUCAAAAAUUUCGCUCCAUGAUCAAAUUAUUAUCUUAGGUGACAAAAUGACGAUUUUGCCCUUGAAUAUCAAAAUUUCUAAUUUUACCCCAAAUGAACCCUCGAACUCCGAACAAUCAUUUUUAGUCAUUCCUAGACUAUAAAAUAUUAAAUUUCAUCCUACAAUUCCUAUUUGAACUAGUUCGAGGUUAAAUCAAUUUAAGUGUACCGUUAGGUACAAUAUCAGGUUUCAUCUAUUCUUAGGUGCUUUUCUAGCGUAAUAACAAGCUACUCAAUGCAUGUAUGUCAUGACAUGUAUUUAUAGAGGCGGGUUUUACACUUAUUACUGAAGGGCUUUGUCAAAUUCUUUAUUGACUCUCUAACAUUUGGGUGGUCAUUAUCUAUAAAUAUAAAUCAAUUAUCGAACUGAUAUUUGAUUAGGAUUUAUAUGUAUUGCCAACAUGUUAGAAGCCUAAUGGGUCACACACAUUAAGUGACAUGAUUGAGAUUAAAUAAGGAUAAUCAAUUAAGUUGGAUUUAAUUGAAAAAAGACUAAAGGAAAAUGGGAAAUUAAUUAAGUUCACAAAGACUUAAUUAAAUUAAAAUGCAACUGUUGUAUUUAGGGUUACAACUUAGUUUGGCUAUAUAAAUAUGUUAUGUUAACAAACUAAAACUCUAAGCCUCUAGCCACUUCUCAGCUGUUUCAUAAAAUAAGAAAAGAAAAAUAGUUUUCUUAGUCUUACAAAAAUAAGAUUCGGCAAGAAUUUUUGAUCUUUUUGUUUUAGAAAUAAAACUUGGUAGCACAAGUAAAAUCUUACCUUUGAGAAGGUUUUAUUUAGUCACUAUGUGGAUUACUGUUAGAGGCCAAACACUUGGGUGGCUGAAGAUUUGACAAAUCUUAAAGGUGAAGAAGCAAAUAUUUUAAUUUAAUUGGCUCUUGAUUACAAUAUUUAGAGCAAGGUAUGUAACUCUUAAACUUAUGAGUAUUCAUAAUUCAUUUGAAAAUUACAUAAAAAACAAAAAAAAUUGAUCUUGUAGGAUUCGACUAUUUCUCUAAUUAAAUGCUAGUUUAUUAUUCUGCUGCGUUAUAUAAUUAAUUUCUUGAUUAAUUUCAUGUUUAAGCAUGAUGUCAAAUCCUAGCACAAACUAAACAAAAUGUUUAUACAUCAGACAAUUGGACAGUAGAGUGAACUCAGAAGUAUGGAAGAGCCUAUUAGAUGCCAUCAAGUAGAUUUACCAUAAUAGAGUUGGAGACUUUUUCUAAGAAAGUGGGGACCCAACGUGCUAUUGAUCUAAAAAUAAAACAGAUUUAAAAGAGUGAGUUUUACAAACUCAAUGAACAAAUACAAGGAAGGGGAACAAGCUAAAACACAAGUGGUUACAAAAAUCAGUAGCUUAUAAAUAUGCAAUUUCAAAGUAAACCCAUACAUUCACAUAAAUCAUGUUUAGAAGGUGUUAAAAUACUUCACUAUAAUAUAUUUAAAUAAGUACAAACCCUUUAGGAAGUUCACUUUGAAAAUGGUAAUCAAAUGCAUUUGAAAAUCAUCCGAAAGUAAUGACUUAUUAGAAAAAUAGUUACAAGGUUCGAUCCUAGAGGGUAAGGGAUUGAUCCUUUCAAAGGCAAAAAGCUUUUUGAAGACAUUUUGUCUUCCUGGGAUGGUUCCCUUUUACUUAGGGUUUGAUCUUUUUUGUCCAGAAUGCUUUUAGACUUUCUGAAUACUUUUAGGAGUUAAUCCUUAACCUUAAGGGGCAUCAAUUCUUUCAUUCUAGAUAGCAUUUUAACUUAACCAAACUUCAUGUGUUAACACUAAAGAAGGAGAUUACUCAUCCCUUAUGCAAAAUACCAAAUUCUUAAAAAUAAUUCAUACUAGAAACAUAGUUAAACACAUUUUCUAAAACAUUUCAUAACAUUAAACAUCAAAGACUUAAUCUUUAAAAUCAAAAUUGCAUAAGGACUUUUCAAGGUUCCAAAACUAGAAUUAUCAGAUAUUCCAAAAUUGUGGAGCCUAGCCUAAAGAAGUUUAGAAUAGACCAAUGGUAUUUUAACCCAAGGGGUAGUGCCAAGUCUCAUUACCUAGGACCACACUCAUCUAGUGUCGUAGCUACUGAAGGUAGGCAUAAAUAGAAGGUAAGAGCACGCGGCUCAGCAUAAUACGAAAAUGUGCUAUACUCCACCACACAUGGCUAGCCCAUAACUUUUACUAGCUAGAGUUUUCAAACAUUAUGCAUAAUGGCCAACACCUACUGUCACUAGCUAUACGUACUUAAGUGGCUCCACUAAAACAUUAAAAAUAAAAAAUUAAGGGUGGACCCAUUCACUUUUUGAUAUCAAACAGAUGGACAUGUAACUUGUAUAAUGUUGCUAAUAAAAUUUCCUUUCCAGAACACACAAACCUUAUUCUAAAGUUGGUAAUAGAUAGUUUUAGAUUUCAAACAUACCUUUUCUAAUUCACACUUGAGCAUGAGUGGUAUAACCGAGUUGGCCAUCACGUGGCUCACAUGUCAUUCUAAUGCAAAUUUGUUUUGAAGAGUUAAAACAAACAAGACGCUUGCUCCCUAUGCAUGAAACUAAUAACAUAAUAUACAUUUAUUUAUACCAUAGUACUUUUGAAACAUAUUAAAGACAUUAACUCAAAUCAUUAUUUCUUGAAAAAUUCAUUUAACAAAAUAGAUAUCCAAAGCACAAUAAGGACAAAACAUGCUUAUACUUAGGAAAAUAUAUUCAAAACACCAUAUCUACUCACAAAGGGAAAAGGCAAUUUCACUUUAGCCUUCAAUCCAUAAAACCUUGCUUACCAUUGAGCUUCAAUAAAACCUAUUAUAACUAAAAAUCAUCAUCAAUUCUUCAAUUUCUCUUAGUUUUUAUAGUUUGAAACUAAUAUAACAAAACUCUAACUAAUUCUUACAAUUUCCACCAAUUGCAACACUAAUUCUCUUUCAACCCUUAAACCCAUAAUUUUUACCACUCAAAUCAAGUGAAUUUUUACCUUCGUGAGCUUCUUGAAUGAAGAAUCAACAAAACCUUAGCUUUAAGAGAGAGAACAUCGAAAUUAGACAAAGAGAAAGUUAGAAUUAAAACCAACCAAAUUGAAGGUUUAUGAAAACAUAAUCUCACCUUGGAUUGAGGUUUCAAUGCUUCAAAUUUGGUUGAAAGGAGAAAAAAAUGGAAUGAGAAGAGAAAAGAGUAAGAAGUGAGGAGAAGAGAGAAGUGGCAUGAAGAAAGAGGGAGGAAUGAAGUCUGAUGAGCCAAAAAGCCCAUAUAACCCUUGAUAGCUCUAUACGGAUCGAUCCUUUUAUCCUAGAUUCAAAAAAAUGCUCUUUUAGGGUUCCUUCUCUCUUAUCUUCCAACUAAGCCUUAAAAUUUGUAAAAAUAAUCCUUUCCCAACAGUGAACUUUAAGAUUUGGUUGGAAAAAAUUUGUUAAAGGUUCACAAUGAAAAGACCAUUCUACCCUUUUUAGUCAAAUAACCAUUUUACCUUUAUAUGAAAAAUAUGGGUUCUAUAACUAUACCUAGUAUUACUAUAUAGUUAUACACUACACAAUAUAGAUACUAAUACAAUAUACAUACAUACAUACUAUAUGUUAGCUUUAUUCUUGUUUGACAUGACAAAACUGAUUGAACUCAAUGAGCUUUGAAAAUGAAUGAAAAAUACUUUUGAAUAUAAAAAAAAAAAUCCCCAACGAAGUGUUAAAGUUGAACUUAAGAGAAAAUAUAUUGAGAUGCUUUGAUUACUUGAACAUGUUUUCGUUAUGAAUGAUCAUGCUCUUGAACUCAAAGAGAUAUCUCUUAAUUUUCUUAAAGGUCUCUUGUUUUUAAAAUUCAAAGUAUCAGCCUAAGAAUCAAGUUUUGGAAAUAAGUGACUUGAUUUUUAAAUGAAAUGAAAGCAAAAUCCAUUUCUUUGAUUACAAGAAGAAUUGAUUCUAGAGAAAAAGAAAUCAGUCUUAAGCAAAAAUCAACAGUAAAUAAUCAAUUUUGAGAAAGGAAAAAGUCAGUUUCUGAAAGACAAAAGCUUUAGGAUUUGUGAAGAAUCGACACGUUAGAGACAAAGAAUUGAUUCCGAAGAGACGAAUGCAAAAGGAGAAAGCUAAGAAGAAAGAAUCAAUUCUUCAUGGAGAAAAUGUCAAUUUUUUGAAUCACCAAAAGUACAAUUGAAAAACUUGGUGACCAAGAAAGACAUGACACAACUAAAAAAAAAAUGGAGCACCAAAAAUCAAGCUUAAAUUCAAAUUUUGACAACAAACCAUGCUGAAAAACUGACACCUUGAGGUAAAAGAAUCAAUUUUUUAAAAUUGCAAAGGUAUGAAUGGUAUGAUGUACAUGCUUGACAUGUUGUAACAUGUAUGGUAUGGUGGAUUCAUGAGUUCCAUUUAUGAGAUUAUGACAUGUAUGCCAUGAGAUGUAUGUGUUGAGAAUAUCAUGUACACUAUAGGUUAAGCAUGUGGAUGAAUUAUGAGAUUAUGACAUGUAUGUCAUGAGUUGUAUAUGUUAAACAUAUCAUGUGCACUAAGGGCUAAUCAUGUGAAUGAUUUACGAGAUUAUGAAAUGUAUGCCAUUAGAUGUAUGUGUUGAGAUAGUCAUAUACACUAUGGGCUGAGCAUGAUGAUGAUAUAUGAAAAUGUUACAUGUUUACGAAGUAAGCUAAGAAUGAGAACGAUCCUAAACUUGAGAAAUCUUAUAAUGAUAGUGCGGAUUGAUCACUAUCCCCCUAAAUGAGUUGGGACCACUCAAAGAUUAUGGGUGAGGCCGAGAUGCCACUCAAACAACUAUGAUGAUUGUUCAUGCAAGUUGAACCAAACGAAAUAGAAGACUUUGUCCACUAUCCGCUUGAGUGAGGUGGGACCAUAUUCGAAUGAUUAUGGGUAAGGCAGAAUGCCACUCACACAACUCUUUAAGAAACCUUUAAAUUAUGGGGGCUUGAACCACUAUUUGUCAGAAUGGGAUGAACCCACUCAUUGAUAGGAAUGUUAUGAUGAAUGAGGUUAAUGAGUCUAAGUCAUGAUUGAAUGAGUAUUUCUUUAUGUGUUGUAAAUUUGAAUGCUUAGACUAAGAUUGAAUAAUUAUUAAUGAUGUUGUUCACACUAGAUUGUGGUGAUAUUAGCUUGGUUAGAUAGAAACCUUAGCUUAAGCAAUAGCCCCGUGAGAUAAAAGGACUUAUGGCAUGACUAUGUGUAGGAUUUUACCUAAAAAAGUAAGUUAUAGUAUUGAUCUAUCGAUACUUAAAGGUCAUCUAUUGAUGGAUAGAAGGUAGAAUGCUACAAGAAACAUUAUGUGUUCCAUCUAUUGAUAGAUUCCCCUAAUCUAUCAAUAGAUGCUUGACAAACAUGAGUUUUUAUGUGUGUACAAGGAAUUUUUCAAAGGUAAAUGAUUUUCCAGGAGUUUUAGAAACUUGUUUUCCUUGCAAUGUUAUUUAAAAUGUAUUUAAAUGCCAUGUUUUCAUGAACUAUAUAAAAAUGUUGAAAGCUUUAUAAAUAGCAUGUGAUUAUAAGUGCAUUGUUACGAAAACCUCUCCCUUUUGGUGUGUCCCCUUCCCCGUAUCUACUCACUGUCACGACCCGGUACUCCUCUCGAGUCCGUGAGAACCGCUGCAACGUCCUGAUAGACAUUCAUUGCCCGGAAUACCAAUUGGAACCUCACAAGGCUUUAAUAUCAGUUUUCGCACCUCCCUUGUGAGCAACAGUUGUUAAGUAUCAUGUUUUGAGAGACUAUAAAUUAUUUUCAAAUCAAAACAAUAGAUAAAUAAUUUUUUCUCACAGGGGCAUUUUGGUCAUUUUUUCUCGAUAAUCUCGAAUUUGGGCUAAAAAUGUAGUAUGCGAGUGGAAAACACAUAUUUCAUAAUCAAAAAUAAGUUUAGAUGUCUAAAACAUUCAUUUAAAGUGAAACUAUAACUAUUUGAAUAUAAUAAACAUAUUUAAUAAAAUAUUCUAUUUUCUUAUAAAACAACAUUUAUAGAGUUCCUGAUAAAUAAUUUUUGUAGUGUAAAAGCUAAAUAAAUUCAUACAUAAUGUAAUACAGAUAACCAAAGUAUAAGAUUUAAUUUACAGUGACAUGUGGGCCCACGAACGACCAAAAGUAUCAAAAGAGGUAAACCUACAGUUUUUUAGGAUGCAAGUCUAAUUGUAGCCCUCAACGAAAUGAGCUAUUUACCGACUAUCCUAAGCCUGAAAUGGGUGAAAAGGAGGGUGGUGAGAUUAUAUAAUCUCAGUGAGUAAACAAAUACCAUCUAAAAUAUCUAAAGCUGAGUAAAUAGAGACAGAUUAAAAUAGAUUAUCAUACUGUAAUUCAUCACCUUUCAACUCAUUUCAACCAAAUAAAAUUAAUUCAUAUAAAUAGAGUAUUCAACAUGGCUUAUAAAUUUUUUAAAACUUUGGCUCGUGCCAAAAUCAUUUUCAUACUCAGUUAUCAGGGAUACCUUGGCCUAAGGCUAUCCCAACCGAGUCCGCCAAGGCUGUUAAAAAGUCAUGUAUGCAUAAAUCAUGUUUUUAUUUUAAAAACAUAGCCAUUCCUUGGCAUUAGCUGAGUCCACCCUCAUGUGGUGGUUUGGCGUGAAGUGAACUCUAAAGUUGUACCUCGGGAGUUACCCUACACGCCUCUCCGACAGAGGUAAGAAUAUAACGGGGUUACCGUGCCCCUCUAAUAGGCUGGUCCAGGGAACCCGCCCACUGCAGCAAGCUAAAUCCACCAAUUCAAUAAAAUCUCAAUACCAAUUCAGCCAUUCAUGCAAAUAUUGUCAUAAGCCAUUUGAUUCAAACCAUGAAUUUACAACACAUGAAAAUAGUCUCUAAUUACUCUAUUUUCAAACCAUCAUUUCAUUUCAAGACAAUGUUAUAAAAUCAUUUCAUUAAAUCACAUUUUAAUUACAAAACACAAAGAUUUACCAUUUAACUCAUUUUCCAUAAAAUCACAAAAUCGGAUAAAAACCACUUUAGAUAAUUAAGAUGAUAGUAAGGUUACUCACUAUUUCGGGAGUCGAAUUUUGAGUACUCUGAUUCUUGAUCCUCGGGUACUAUCUCUUUAUUUUUGCCAGAAUGCUCACCACUUAGACAUAAUGCACAAUAAGCCAUUUACUACAUUUGUGUUAAGUUGUUAUAAAACCAAUUCAGGCUCUAUACUAAUGCAUGAAAUGGGAUGUGAAAUACUCAGGUAACUAUCUAAAUACGGUGUUCAAUAUAAAUCAGUUAUGUACCUAAAUAAAACGGUAUUGGCCUAAUUCGAUCUAUCACCUAAUUAAUUGGCCAACACGUCCAAUUCAACUCCAAAUAAUUCCAUUUUUCUCCCAAUACUCCAAAUCAUCAAACACAAAUUAAAUAACUUGAAAUAUGGCAAAAUCAUGCUCACAUUUUCUUUUGGAAAAUUCGGCAAUGGUGGGUGCAUCAACACUAUAAUUUUUCAAGCUUGAUUCUCACACCAUAAAUCACUAAUUCUUAACCAAAUCACUUGAAAUAAAAUCAAAAUCAUCAUCAAUAUUCUACAUGGGUAAUUCGGCCAAUGAUGGGUGAUGGGAGAAAAUGAAUUUUUCUUGUUGGCUUUUCAUGCUACACAUCACUAACUAACUAAAAACACUACAAUACAUUGAAAUCUAACCAAAUCAAGCAUCAAAAUCUCUCUCUAAGUGUUCGGCCAGCAAGAGACCCAUCAUGAAAUCAUGUGAUUCAACCAUGAAAAAUGAAAAAGGAUGUAUGGGAAAGGUAGAUCACAAGUCAAAAUCAAGAAAUUUUACCUUUGAUUGCUUGAUUACUUGAAAUCCACCAAUUUUCUCUUGAAUUUUCACUCUAGGUUUUUGUUCUUUCUUUUCUUCCUUUGUUCUUGCUUUGGCCGGCCAUAAUGAAGAGAAAUGGGCUGAUUUUGUGCUAAUUUAAAAGGAAAAUAAUAAAGAAAUAAAGCUUGACACUUGUCACCUUACCAUUGGUCCAUUUUUAAAUUCUUAACUAUUAAGCUUUCUUUCUCCACCACAUAAAAUCCUUCAAUUAUCCAUUAUAAUAAUGGGUAAAAUCCAUGUGCUGGACAAGUGUUGGGUGGUGUAAAAUUACAAUUUUGCCAUUGGGGUGGCAAAAUGACUAUUUUGCCUUUGUGCUCGAAAAAAUGCCAGAAUUAAAAUUUUUCACUUCUCAAACUCAAAUUAUGUUCUAAAUAGUCAAUCUUGAUCAAAAACUUCUUCCAACAUUCCAAUUUUAACCUUGGGUGGUAAAAUGACCAUUUUUCCCCUAGGUCAUGAAAAUUCCAAUUUGACUCCAAAUCGGUCCUCGAACUCUGAAUCACCAUUUUAAGUCAUUCUAGGAUUUUAAAAUUCUUAAUUUCAUCUUAAAAUCUCUAUUUGGACUAGUUCGAGGCUUAAUUCAACUUAAUUGUACCAUUUGGUACAUUGCCGUCCUUUAACGAUUUUCGAGGUACCCAAGUAAGCAAACAUGCAUUCUUAUGUAAGAAUGGCAUAAUAAACAUAUUGUAGAGCCUGGCUUGACACUCACGGAGUCUUUGUGACUCACAUGCUAUUUUUCCAUUUUUGUUUUAUAGAUCAGUGAUUAGUUUGUUACUUGAGUUACGGAUACAAGUUUCUAUUCUUCUUCCUUUGGUAGGUGUCUAAUUGCCUUUUGAUGCGUAGAAAGAUUGGUCAUGUUUUACUAAUGAGUUAGUUGUAUAUUAUGUUUAUGUUUGUAAAUAUUGUACAUGAUUUUGAUGAUGUAGCCAAUGUUUGGCAUUUUACCUUAUGAAUGUUAUGGAUAAAUAUAUGAAGGUGGCUCGAGAGCUUACAUGAAUACUCAAGGAUGUUGAUAAAUGUUUAUAUGACACUGUGCAUGAGAUUAUGGCACUCUGAUGAUAUAUGAGAUUAUUGCACUUACAUUGUUUAUGUUGAGAAGUUCCAUAACUGUUAAUGUUUCCUAUGGUUGCAUGCAUGUGAUUUACAAUAUAUGCGUAUGAUGAUUGAAUGUAUAUUUUUGCACAUGAUUAUGAAUGUUUAAUGACUGAAUGGAAUAAGACUUGCUUGGGCCUAAUGCGCUAUACAUGACUAGAUCUAUGUACCGAUCAUAUCCCAACACAAAAUGAGAUGCGACAAAGUUAGUAUUAAAGCUCUAGGUUAAUAGAGUCCUAGGCUUUCUUUGGUUUUAACGAAAUGUUUGGAGUCAUGUGUAGAAAUCUUGUUUAUGUUUUGUGUACCCAAGCAUAAACUGAGAAUGGGAGACUUGCAUAUAAUUCAUUGUCUGUUUACCCAUAUUAUACAUAAAAGUUAUGUCUAGAAUUACUAUAAGUCUAUAGCAUUGAGUCUUACAAUAUAUGGUUGCUCUCUUCUAAGUAAGAUAUGUUGCAUAAGGUGCGAGCUAGUGCUAGAAAUGAGGUAGAGCAUGAGACUCCAGUUGCAAGGGGUUGUGGCAAGCGCGAUAGAGAAUGAGGCUCCCAUAGAGGCUAUUGACAAACCAUGUACGCCUACUAUUUGAGGUCAUGGCAAACGCGGGAAGACCGUUGAUUUGAAAAGGACUAAUACCCCCACUAAUGCACUAAUAAGGGGAUAAGGUCCUUAACUAGUAGUAAAGGGACAUGCUCUAGAGGUUGAGCCGCAAGACCAGUACGGGUAGAAUUGCCCAUUAACAAACAUGUGGAGAUUAUCUUUCUAUAGUUGAAAUUAUGAUGAGUUGAUGUUCCUUAUAAUCGAAACCUAUGAUUUACAUGUGCUAGGUUAAGUGAGAGUGUUACCUAAAGCUUGAGCUAUGAUCAAAGGAAAUUUUUGGAGUAAGAGACUCUUAAUGAGACAAUGACAAAGUCGUAUGUUUGAAUUCUAGUGGCUCAAUAGAGGGGUAGAACUAUUAGAAAUGCUUGAUCAUAGACAAAUAAAAAUAAAACUACAUAUGUUGUUCACGAGGUGUCGAUGAUGAUCCUUGGGUUGAGUACAACCCUAGAUGAUGAAUGAAGAAUUAUGGAUAAUUGAUUAUGGCAUUAAAACAUAGACUAACGGGAAUUAGUAAAUGAUUUUGUUUAUGAAAGGUACCUAAUACCUUGAUAUUACCCUAGAUGUGAAGGGUAAUGAGAAAUUAUGUUAAUGAUUUUGAGGAAAAGAUGCUUGAUAAGAAACAAAGGAAAGUUGAAAGGCUUUACCAGUCGAUAAAGAACAAAGAUAUGCCUACUUGAUUUAUGAUAAGGUAGAUACCUUAUGUUUAAGACAUGGUAGAAAGGAUUUAUAAUUUAAAGGUCUUAAAGGUAUUGUUGAUGAGAUUUCAAUGGAUAUUACUAUAGAUAAAUUGAUAACUCAUGGGAGUCCAAUCAUGAUAUGUCAGAAUCAACAAUGAAGGAUAUUAACAAUUCUAAUUGCUAAAUGGUAUUAACAUCACAAUUUCCAAGGUAAAGCUUUAUUUCUAACAAUGCACAAGUAAUGGGUUGGCCUUGUAGUGAUUGAAUGAAGAAAUUGCUCUAUGGUAACGUUAACUAUGAGGGGAAGUACUACCCAAGUUAGAUAUCAAGGAUCAUGAUCGGUGAUGUGACAUUGAUCGUAGCCAUUUAUUAUAGGGACACUAUAUAAGUCUCCAUAGCUCAUUAUUCAUCAUGGCAUAAGGUAUUGUCGUGACAGGGUAAAAAAAGACUAAGGUUAACUAUGAAAAGAUUUAGAGGUCACCACCCUCUUAAGGGAGGUGUUGGUGGCAGAAUACGAAAAUAGGGCUUGCAUGGUCUAGAUUAAGGAGAAGGACACCUAAGCCAAUCUAAUCUUGAUGGACAUGCUUGAGUUUGACGUGAUAUUGGGUAUGGAUUGGUUAUCACGCAACAAUGUUAGCGUUGAUUACCCCUAUAAGGUGGUAAGCUUUAACUAUUCAAGCAAGGCACUCUUAAGUGUUCAAAAGGAUCGUAGUAUGGUGAUAGGAAGUAUAGUUUCAAGCUUAGAGGCUAGGAGGUUGAUUGGUUAUGGAUGCCAAGGAUUUGUGAUGAUAGGUAAGGACAUUCAUAUGGUAGUGGGUAAAGUGACCAAUGUGCCAAUUUUGAGAGAAUUCACUGAUGUGUUUCUUAAAGAGUUACUGGGAUUACCUCCAUAUAGAGACAUAGAGUUUUGCAUUGACUUGGUGCAAGGUACAAGUCUGAUAUCUAUUCCACCAUACCAAAUGACACUUGUAGAGCUUAGAGAGCUUAAGGAUUAGUUAAAAAAUCUAUUGGGAAAAGGUUUCAUUCGUCCUAAUGUGUCGCCAUAGGGUAUGUUGAUGUUAUUCAUGAAAAAGAAUGAUUGGUCAAUGAGGUUGUGUAUGGACUAUAAAUAGUUGAACAAGGCAACGGUGAAGAAUAAGUAUCUGUACCACACAUUAAUGACUUAUUUGAUUAACUCCAAUGAGCAUAAUAUUUUUUUAAGAUUGAUUUGAGAUCAGGCUACCAUCAAUUGAGGAUUAAGUUAGAGGAUGUACUUAAAACUACUUUCGUACUAGGUACAGAUAUUAUGAGUUUCUAGUGAUGUUAUUCAGACUUACAAAUGCCCCAGCUACUUUUAUGGACAUGAUGAACAUUUAUAAUGCCUUUUAUUGACCUUAAGCACAACCCUUACAAUGCCUUUUAACGAGAGCAAGUACAACCCACACUAACUUUUCAAGGUUAAGUUAAAACCUUUACAAGAGUGUUAACUGUUGGCUCUAUUAGUUUUUGAUGAUAUUAAAACAUUUUCAUUCAUUUGUGUCUAAUAAUUCUACUUGAGUGUGCAGGACAAGAAUUGUAUGCCAAUGAUAAAUAAAUAAUUCCAUGGGACAUAUCAAAGAGGUAUAUGAAUAAAAAGCCACAACUAAUCAACAAUUUAGAAGCUUCUUAGUUGAAUAAUGAAGGGUUAGUUAGCUAAAAUUCGAAUCAGAAGUUGGCGGGGAUAAGAGUAUUGAGAAACAAAAAAGACUUAGUCGACCAAGAAAUGGGUUAAUUGACUAAGAGUCUACUGCCAGAAAUCUGGACUUCAAGACAAAACUAACUUAAUCGACUAAGAAGGAAGUUAGUCGACUAAGUGCUCACUUUCAAAAGCAAGGAACAAAAGACAGAAACAACUUAUUCGACUAAGAUAUCAGUUAGUCGACUAAGAGCAUUCUGCCAAAAAAUUUGAAUUGUGCACUAAAAGAUAAAUUAACGACCAAAAUUGUAACAAACUGUUUCCAACGGUCAAAAACUGCCUAAUACUUAUCAGAGCUGAUUUUUCAAGUAUUUAAGAGGCUUGCAACGACUAGAAAUGUAAUUAAGGCUUUCAAAAACUAAAAAAGCUUAAAAAACCAGCAAAAACUCUCUGCAUUCUUUUGCACUUCAUGCCUAUCCUUGUAAAAGAUUCAAGCACUUCACUUUGUAACAUUUAGAUUAAGUCAGUGAUCAUAGGUACACAUUUAUUUCUCUUCUCCUUGUAUACUUAGAGUGUGCGAGCACUCUAAAGGAUUUAUUCAAGCUUGGAUUGCUUGAUUAAGUGUAUAAGCUCUAACUUAGCCUAGAAAAGUUAGUUGUUGGGUUUUGGUUGAUCUCGAUAAAAACCAUUAUGAAAGGUUUUGGUUAAGCAUGGUAAAAGCCAUUGUAAAAGCUUGGUGAAAGCUUGUGAAUUUCAUUGUGCAUAGUGGAUUUAUUUGAAAAAUCCUUGGUUGAACAAUCAAGGUAGUGGAUGUAGGUAUUGGAUCGAACCACUAUAAAUUCUGGUGUGAUUGUCUGCUCUGUUGUUAGUUUUUCAUUCAUCUUUAAAUCUCUUUUUUAUCUUUCAUUUGUCUCCAAUUUGAAGUUAAUUCUUAAAUGAGCCAAAAAAUGCUAUUCACCCCCCUUCUAGCACAUUUACUUGGGACCAACAUUUACAAUGAGAGAAUAGCAAUAAAUGCCUCUUAAAGGUUGAUGAGCUAAGUGUUUAAGCCUGAAAGAGAAUGGGUACAAUUUAUCUCACAAUAUGAGCUCAAGAAUAUUAAUGAAUGGCUUUGAAUGCCUUGAAGGAAUGACUUAAAUAAAAUGCUAGGGAAUAGUAAAUGAAGCUAAAGCUUUUCACAAAUAUUGGAGCAAUUUUUAGAGUUUUCUCACUUUUCAAAAUGGGUGGGAAGCCUUCUUAUAUACCCUUUUGAGAGAAUAUAGCCGUUAGAGACGAGUUGGGGUUGAAAAUAGCCAUUAGAAGCAUUUAUUGCACAGUUGCCACAUCACUAGGGUCGAGUAUGGAAGAGGUGAAAUCGACCUUGAAUUAUAAUUUAUUAGAAAUUGUACUUUAUGGUCGAGUUUUUAAUGUUGUAGUCAACCCUCAACCCAAGGCUAACUUCAUUUCUUCUUUCCUUGCUUUGGAGUCGAGUAUGGUAAUGUGAAAGUAGACUUUUUUCCAAGGGUUUUUUUAUAUCUUUUCUUCCUUCUAAAGUUGAGUAUAGCUUGUCUAGAGUUGACCUUCAAGCUUCUUUCAAUUUUUCUCAAGCAUUUUGCCUUGAGGUCGAGUUUAAUGAUGUGUUGUCAACCUAAAAUCCAAGCCAUCUCAUCAUUCUCUUUUCAUUUGUACAUGUACGAUUCAGUAUGAAUAAGUUGUAAUUGACCCUGAACUAGUGCCUUUAUCACAUGAUCUUUCAAUUGAGCUUUUGAAUGUCUUCUUAACUUUGAAUCAAGCUUGGUGUUGUGGAUAUAGAUCAUCCUUGGAUGGCUUAAGGUGAACUCCUCAUUUUGUGAACCUAUCUUGCAAUUCAAAACACUUCAACAUCUCAAACAUAAAUGUUAGGGAGAUCAUAAAACUUAUUGAAGCAUAUUUAACACUCAUACAACUAAAUCAAUCAAGCUUGUAGACAUUUCAGAAACAAGUGUAUGAGAGUUCAAUAAUCUUCAAGAAAUGUUCAAGGAUCACUCACAUAAGUUCAAGCAAUUUUGGUCAAUUUUGUCAUUUUAAUCAUUUUAAAGCUAACGAAGAUAACACCUUGUAACAAUAAGUCCAAAGUUUUAUAUUCGACAAUGAGCAAUAAAAUUACAUACUUCUGAACAAAAGUAUAUUAUUAAUAUAAUAUGUAUAGACAUAGUAACUUAUUAUUAUACUAAUUAGUAAAAUUAAUCAUUUAGAUUUUAUCAAUUUACUAUUCAUUAUAACAUAUUAACAAUAAGACAACUUAAUAAAAAAUCUAACAUAUGAAUAAUAAUAUAAAUUAAUUUAAAAAUUAAGAUAUAAAUUACUAAUUUGAUUGACUAAGGACUAAGUUUCUUCUCCUUAGAAUUUUAUAGUCUUCCACACUCUUCCACUCAAGUCAACUUUUGACUCCACUUGUCACUCUCCUUUCUUCUCAAUUGUCUUCACUUUUUACCUUAUCAAAUCUCAUUUAGUCAUCGCCGUCCGUCCCUAGUCGACUAGACCUACACCACGACUCUCUCCUUAGUCCUCACAUUCUCAUUUCUCACUCCACUUUCUUUUAGUUUUAGAAGUUAGACUAUUUACAGCCCUUGUGGGUUUCUUUUCUUCGCUACUGCCUGCUAGUGCGGUAGUCCAAUUUUAGUCUUUGCCCUCUUUAGCCAGUCUUGAGUCCAAUUUCUAUUUUUGACCAUUAAUCCCCUUUUUAAGUCAUAAAAAUUAAAGGUAUAAUUUAGGGUUUCUGGUUUCACGAUUUGCCUUUUAGAUUUUUUUGCUACUACUAGUGAUUUAUUUUUGCAAAUGAAAUUGAUUUAUUUUGAAAUGUUGAAUUGUUUGUUAGAUUGUAUUUUAUUUUCUUGUGAUUUCUUUAACGAUGUCGUCCGAAAAGACACAAAGAGUGGCACCUAUACCAAGGACUACACCAACAACAAGGAGUAGGACAUCUAAGGCAACGAGAGAUGAUGUUGCGGUUGCAUUUACACAACAACAUAGCUAUUCAAACUAGAGCAACAUCUAAAUCUAAGAGAACGGUAACUAAAACAUGGUCAGAAAUGUGGACCCAUUUCACCAAGUUCAUAGAUGAGAAAGGUGAGUCCAAUAUUAAAUGCAAUUACUAUUGUAAAGAAUUUUGUGUUGAUUCAAUGAAAAAUCCAAAUACUUCUAUGAAUUAGCAUAAAAAAGUAUUUAAAAAAGCUUCUUAAUUUGCUAGUUGUACCCAAUCAAAAAAUAGUUUUUAAUACAGAUGGGUCCUUAGAUGAUUGGGAAUUUGAUCAAGAGUUCAUUAGGAAGAGUUUAGCUGAAAUGAUUAUUUUAGAUAAAUAGCCCUUUACGCUUGUGGAAGGAAAUGGGUUUAAGAUAUACUUGGCAAUUUCAUGGCUAAGGUUUCAUGUUCCAUCAGUUUUUUUUCAAACUUUUAUUAUCUUAUUUUGAAAGUUUCAAGUUCCUCAUAUGUUACUUUUAAUCUUUGAGCAAAUUUGUGAAGGGUAUUGUUUAUUCCGUGAUUGUAAAUCGAGUGGUGAUGUUCAGUUUAGUUUAAUGGCUAAAACAUUGAAAGAAAAAUAUAAUAAGUAUUAGGGGAAUGUGAACAAAAUGAAUAUGUUAUUGUAUGUUAUAUUUGUUCUUAAUCUUAUACAUAAGUAUGUUUUUGCAGAAUUUUGUUUUAAAAGAAUGCAUUCAUUGAGUGAAGUUGAUUUGAUAAUGAUAAAAUUGAGGGAUACGAUGUUGGAAUUGUUCAAUCACUAUAAGACAAUGAGGCAACCCUCGAAUUUUGAACAUGUGAAUGAGAGUAGCCAAAUAAGCCAACCAAUUCAACAGACUAGUGAAUCAAAUUAGAAAAAAAAAAAAGGUUAUCAAGUCAGAUUUCAAGAAGUUUAGGUUUCAAAGUGGAUGUAAAGAGCAAAAAACAAAAUUCACCAAGUACUUGAGUAAAGUGCUUGAUGAUCAUGGUGAGGAUGAUGAGUAUUUAAGUGUUUUGGACUAGUGGAAACUAAGCAGUUGUAGAUUUCCCAUUCCUUCUCAAAUUGGCUUGUCAUGUUUUGGCAAUACAUAUAUCCACAUUUGCUUAAGAAUUUGCUUUCAGCAUUAGUGGUCAAGUUUUUUAUGCAUAUAGGUGUUCUUUAACUCCUACGUUGGUACAAACUUUGAUAUUGGUACAAGCUCUAAUAUGUGCUCAAGAUUGGUUGAGAUCCAUCACAUUCAGAUUCGGGCUCUGAGGUAGAAAUCAUAAAGUUGGAGAAAGUCAAUUUAGGUAAUAUUUUAAAUGUAUAUGCUAUUAAUCUUUUUUUUUUUUUGAAGUUAUUAUUUCUUAAUUUUCUUUCAUUUUUGUCUAUCUAGUUAUUUUUGUUUAUGCAUUUAUAGAACUUUCAAGAACAUCUUUGGAGCCAGUUAUUGAUUGAUGAGUGAUGAUAGAGACAAGGUUUGUCUUCAUAAAUGAAAAGAUGUUUUGUUUAGUGUCAAUCUAUCAGUACAUGUUAAUAUUUGACAAUUGACAUGUUAAUAUUUGUAGUAGUGUGUUGUUAGCCUGUUGCUUGUUGGAGCUUAGAUAGUUGGAUGGGUCUUGCUAUCUUAGAACUAUUAAAUUCAUAUAUGGUGAAUGGUGUGAUUUCAAACUUUCAAUUGUACUUGAACUUUUAUUUUGUUGGUUAUGAACUUAUAAAGUUAUAAUGUGUACUUUUUAUUUGAUAAUUUCUCAAGAAAACUUAUUGAAUAAAUUAAAAUAAAUAGAAAAAGCUAUAAAAAUUGACUAAAUAAGUUUUAACUAAUUUAACCGACUAAAGUUAGUUAAUUUUAAAGUCAAUUAAAGACCUUAAAUUUGAUUGGUUCGAUUAAUAGUAUAGGGGAAGUUAGUCAAGUCAAUUAAUGGUUUAUCUGGACCAAGUUAACUGAUUUAACUAAUUGCUCUUCCAUACUCCUCUCCACUAUCUUGAUUUUUCACUUUCCUUAAUAUCGACAAGUCACAGUCCCUAGUUGACUAGAUCUAUAAUGAUGACUCUCACAGUCUUCACAUUCACAUUUCUCACUCCACUCUUACUCUCUUAGUUGUAGAAGUUAGACUACUUAGGACCCUUGUGGGUUUCCCUUGUUCGCUGUUACUUACUAGUGCAAUGGUUUGGUCUUAGUCUAUGUAUUCUACAAUCGAUCUCAAGUCCAAUUGCUACUAUCAACCUUGAAUCCCUUUUUCAAGUGACAUAAAAUUAAAAGUAUAAUUUUAAGGUUUUUGGUUUCAUGAUUUGCCAUUUAAGUAUUCUCUUUUGCUACACCUAGUGAUUUAUUUGUGCAAAUGAUAUGGAGUAAUUUUGAAAUAUUGAAUUGUUUGCUAGAUUGUAUAUACUUUUCAAGUGAUUUCUUUAAAGAUGUUGUUUGAAGAGACAUAGACAAAGGCACUUACCCUAAGGACUACAUUAACACUAAGGAGUAGGAUAACAAAGACAACGACAAUAGUUGUUGUGGUUGCAUCUACUCAACUCCAUAACUUUAUUCAAUAUGGAGCAACAUCUAGAGCUAAGAGAAAUGUGACGAAGACAUGGUCAGAAAUGUGGACUUAUUUCACCAAGUUCACAGAUGAGAAAUGUGAGUUUAAAUCUAGAUGCAAUUAUUGUAUUAAAUAAUUUUGUGUUGAUUCAAAGAGAAAUGGAACUGGUUUUAUGAAUUAUCAUAAAAGAGCAUGUAAAAGCUUCUUAAUCUACUGGUUGUACUUAAUCGAAAAUAGUUUUAAAUGUAGAUGGGUCUUUAACUAAUUGGAGAUUUGGCCAAGAGUCCAUUAGGAAAAGUUUGGCAGAAAUGAUUGUUUUAGAUAAGUUGCUUUAAGUUCGUCAAAGGAAAAUGGUUUAAAAGAUACAUGGCAAUUUUAUGUCCAAGAUUUCACACUCAAUCUAGAUGAACUAUUGUUAGAGAUUGUUUUUAGCUAGAUGUAGAUGAGAAGAAUAGUUUGAAAAAUCUUUGGGUUCUUCAUAUAAGGUAUCCCUAACCACAAACAUUCAGACCUCAUUAUAAAGAGGGAAUUACAUGUGUUUUACAUCCCAUUUUAUUAAUGAUAAUUAGAAUUUACGCAAAAACAUUUUAAACUUUUGUCCAAUUUCUAGUCAUAGAGUUGAUGAUGUUGGUAAGGCAAUUGAUAGAUUCUUGCAUGAUUGGAGCUUUGAUAAAAUGUUGACUAUCAUAGUAGACAAUGCUAUAGCUUAAAUGAUGUUGCAAUAACAUACUUAAAGAAAAGGUUCAACCAAUUAGAAACUAGUAUUGUACAAGAUAAAUUUCUUCAUUUAAGAUGCAUUGCACACAUAAUCAACCUUAUUGUUAGUGAUGGAUUGAAGGAAUUUACCGAUUCAAUUCCUCGUGUAAGGGGAGUAGCUAGAUAUGUGAGACAAUCACCAUUUAGGUUGCAAAAAUAUAAUAAUUGUGUUCACAUUGAAAAGAUUCUUACAAAGAGUUAGUUGUUCUUAGAUGUUAGCACUAAGAGAAAUUCAACAUACUUAAUGUUAGAUGUGGUUCAAAAAUUAGAAAGGGCUUUUGAGAAAUUUGAUAAGAUUGAUUCUUCGUAUAAAAGUGACCUAUUGUUGGGAGAAGGGUAUCAUGAUAGUGAUGAUUUGGCAAAAUGUUGGGAGAUUAAUCACUUUUUUGUAGCAUUUUUAUGAUCUUACUUUGAAAGUUUCAAGUUCCUCAUAUGUUACUUUGAGGAAAAUUAUGAAAUGUAUUGUUUGUUGCAUGAUUGGUAGUUGAGUGGUGAUGUUGAAUUCAGUUUAAAGGCUAAAAGAAUGAAAGAAAAAUAGGAUAUGUAUUAGGAGAAUAUAGACGAAAUGAAUAUUUUGUUGUAUGUUGCGAUUGUUCUUGAUCCUAGACAUAAAUAUGUUUUUGCAUAAUUCUAUUUUAGAAGAAUGUAUUCACUGAGUGAAGUUUAUUUAAUGAUGACAAAAUUAAGGGAUACAAUGUUGGAGUUGUUCAAUCAUUAGAAGAAAAUAAUGUAGCCUUUGCAAUUUGAGCAUGUGAGUUAGAGUAGCCAAAUAAGCCAACCAACUAAGCACUCUACUGAUCCAAAUCAAAAAAAGAAAAAGGCCAUUAGUGAUCCAAAUCAAAAAAAGAAAAAGGCCAUUAACUCAUAUUUUAAGAAGUUUAAGGUUGAAAGUGGAUGUAUGGAGCAAAAAAUGGAAUUUGAUAAGUACUUGAGUGAAACACUUGAUGAUCAUGAUAAAAAUGUUAAGGAUUUCAAUGUUUUGGAUUGGUGGAAAGUAAAUAGUCUUAGAUUUCCCAUUCUUUCUUAAUUGGCUUGUCAUGUUUCGGCAAUGCCUAUAUCCAUGGUUGCUUUAGAAUCUAUUUUCAAAGUUACUGGUCGAGUUCUUGAUGUGUAUAGGAGUUCUUUAACUCCUAAGUUGGUACAAGCUCUUAUUUGGGCUAAAGAUUGGUUACGAGAUCCAUCACAUUCAAAUUCAAGUUUUGAGGAAGAAAUUGGGAGAUAAAAAAAGUCUAUUUAGAUAAUAGUUUACACGUACAUCUUAUUUAAUUUUUUUUUUAUUUUGUGUUAUUAUUUCUUAAUUUUGUUUCCUUUUUGUUUAUCUUUACUGUACGUUAUACUAUUAUUAUUGAUGCAUUUGUAGAACUUUUAAGAAUUGCUUUGGAGCUAGUUAUUAAUUGAUGAAUGAUGACAAAGAAAAGUGGUUGUCUUCAUAAAUGAGAAGAUGUUUUGUUUAGUGUCUGUCUAUCAAUACUUGUAAAUAUUUGACAAUUGACAAUUGACAUGUGAAUAUUUGUCUUAACAUGUUGUUGGCUUAUUGCUUGUUGGAAUUUAGGUAGUUGGAUGGAUCUUGCCAUCUGAGAACUAUUAAGUUGUUGCUUGGUGAAUGGUGAUUUCAAAGUUUGAAUUGUACUCGAAAUUUUGUUUUACUGGUUAUAAACUUAUAAAGUUUUAAUGUGUAGUUUUUUUGUCAAGCCCAACUCUAUAAUAUACUUGUCAUGUCAUUUAUGUGCUUGAUAGAAUGUUUGCAUUAGUGAAUGUAUCGAAAAAAUCGUUAAAAGUCUGUAUUGUACCUAAUGGUACAAUUAAGUUGAUUAAAGCCUCGAACUAGGCCAAAUAAAGAAUUUACGAUGUAUUUGAGAGUUAUUGAACCUUAGAAUGUCUUAAUAUGGUGAUUUAGAGUUUGAAAAUUGAUUUGGAGUUUAAUUGAGAAUUUUUAUAACGUAAGGGCAAAAUGGUCAUUUUACCACCCGAGGGUAAAAUCGAAAUGUUGGACAAAAUUUUUGACCAAGUUUGACUAUUUGGAGCAUAAUUUGAAAAUGUGGAAUGAAAAAUUUCAAUUUCGACAUUUUUCGAGUAUAAAGGUAAAACGGUCAUUUCAUGUGUCCAUGAGGACGUAAUUGAAAUUUUACACCACCAUGACACUUGUCAAGCCCAUAAAUUUCACCAAUUAUCAUUUUAUACUUUGGAUAAUUAUGGUAUUAUAUGUGGUGGUAAGAGAAUGCUUAAUGAUUAAGUUAACCGUGGACCAAUCACAUGGUGACAAGUGUCAAGCUUUAAUAUUAUUUUAAUUUCUUAUAUAAACUCACUAAAAACCCUCCCAUUUCACUCUUAUGGCUGGCCAAGCAAGGGAACAAAGAGAAAAAGAGAAGAACGAACCCUAGAAAGGAAAAAUUCAAGAGAAAUUGUUGGAUUUCAAGGAAUCAAGCAAGUAAAGGUAAGAUUUUUUAAUUUUAGCUUGUGAUCUACCUUUCCCAUGCAUUCUUUUCAUUUUUCAUGGCUAAAAUUCAAGUUUUCAAGAGGGAACCUUUGCUGGCCAAAUCUAGAGAGAGAAGUUUUGGUGAUGAAUUUGGCUAGAUUUCAUGAUAUCUUAGUGUUUUUAGUUGUUUGAUGAUGUUUGGAAGGAAAAAUAAGCAAGAAAAUCACAUGUUCUUCAACCACCCUCAUUUGUCCGAAUUGUUUAUAUGGCAUGUUAAUGAUGGAUUUGGUUGUAAUUCAUAUUAUUUAGCUAGGAAUUGAUGAAUUAUGAUGUUGGAUAUCGAAACCGGUUAUUGAAAAAUAUAGUUCCUUUAGAAAAUAGCUUGAUGGAAACUGAGAAAAUCAUAGUAAAUGGACUUGGGUUUGAUUCCUAAUGAUAUAUAUGGAUUUACGAGACUGUGUAGACAUUGAUUAGUAUGUUAGUUCAAAAUCGGAAUGAAUUUCAAAACAUGGUGAAGUUAGUCAAAAAUCAAGUUCAUUGUAAUGCUUUGGUGUAUUAGAUUAUUGAAAGUGUAAUGAAUAUAUUUGGAGUUGAAUCGGAUGUUUUGGUUAAAUCAAUGGUGUAUAGUUCGAAUUAGGUUGAAUACAAAUUCUUUCCGAUCACAAUUGAACCUACGUAGAACACCGUCUUUAAGUAACUAUCCGAACAUUUCUCAUUCAACUUCAUGCAUUCAUAUAGAGUUUGAAAUAGUUUUAUAACAAUUUGACAGCAAUGUAUUGAAUUACGUAUUGUGUAUUAUGGAUAGGUGCUGAACCCCCCGAUAAGGGCAAAGAUAUCGUGCCGGAGGAUCGAGAAUAGGAGUACUCCUACCACUCCAAACUCCUGCUAUUGUGAGUAAUCAGACUUUCAUCUUAACUAUCUAAAGUAGUUUAUACUCGUUUUUAUGUUUUAAGGAAAAAUGAAUUUAAAUUGCAAACUAUUAUGUUUUACAUUUUAAAUGUUGGUUAAAUGAAUGAGAUUUAUAAAUUAUUCUGAAACUAAAUGUUGAUUUUUGAAAUAGAGUAAGUGGAUACUGUAUACUCGUGUUAUAUAUAUGUUUUGACAUAUGGUUUGAAUUGAUAGCUUAUGACAAUGUAAUGGCAAGCAUGGCUGGAUUUGUGUUUGUGUGGAAUAUUUGAACUAUUUUGAUUUGCCUUGACAGGCUGGUAAUAUUAUAUUAACCAUGUCAUGCUAUCAAAAAUUUUAUUGAAUUGGUAGGUUAUUUGAUUAGCUUACUGCAGUGGGCGGGUUUCCGUGGACCAGCCUAUUAGAGGGGCACGGUAAACUCGAUUAUAUUGUACCUUAGUACGAGAGGCGCGUAGGGUAUCUCCUAAGGUAAAGUUAGAGCUCACCUCACGUUGAACCAUCACGUGAGGGUGAAACUUAGCCAACGCCAAUAAACGACUGUGCUUUUAAAUGUAAAAAUGAGUUUUAUACUCAUAUGUUAUUUUAACAGCCUUGGCGGUCUCGGUUGGAUGCCCUGCGCAAGGCAUCAUCAAGUUCGAGUUUUGGCACGAGCCAAGUUUUAAGAGAGUCAUAAGCCUUACUGAUUAUUUUUGAUGAAAUGUCAUUGUUUUAUAUGGUUGAAAUGACUUUUAAUGUUAUGAAUCAUAUUAUGAAGAGAUGUUUUAAUUGUCUCCAUUUACUCGGCUUUAGAUGUUUUAGAUGAAAUUUGCUUACUCACUAGGUUUAUAAAAACUCACCCCUUCUUUUCACCCAUUUUAGGCUCAGGGUAGUCUGUAGACCGCUAAUUAUGUCGAGGGUUUGCUUUUGGAUUUACACCCUUAGAAAUCGCAGGUCUAUAGUCUUUACGCUAAUUAUUUUGCUUUUAUGCUACAAAAAUUAUUUACGCAGAGUUCUAUAAAUAUUAUUUUAUAAGAAAAUAGAAUAUUUUAUCUAAUAUUUUUAUUUAAUUUGAAUAGCUAUAAUUUCACUUUAAAUUGAUGAAUUAGACAAUGGAACUUAUUUUUAGACGUGAAAUGGAUGCUUAUUACUCGUAUAUCAUAUUUUUAUCAAGGUUCAAAAAUUUUGGGUAAAAUGACUAAAAUACCCAUGUGUAGUAGAAAUUACUUUUUGAUUAUUUUUUAUUUGAAAUUAGUCUCUAUUUCUUUAAAACAUGGUAUUUAAUAACUGUUGCUCACAAGGAAAAAGUAAAACUGAUGCGAAAGCCUUGCGAGGUUUCGGUUGGCAUUUCGGGUAAUGAAUGUCAAUCGAGACAUCGCGACGGUUAUCACGGGCUCGAUGAAAAUUUCAGGUCGUGACAAUUCUCAUUCAAUUUCAUGCAUUAAUAUAGAGCUUGAAAUAGUUUUAUAACAGUUUGGGACAAAUAUAUUGAAUUACGUGUCGUGUAUUAUGUAUAGGUGGUGAGCCCUCUAAUAAGGGUAAAGAUAUCGUACCCGAGGACCAAGAAUAGGCGUACUCCAAACUCCCGCUAUUGUGAGUAAUCAGAUGAUCAUUUUAACUAUAUAAAGUAUUUUAUACUCGUUUUUAUGUUUUAAAGAAUAAUGAGUUUAAAUUGUAAAUUAUUAUGUUUUAAAAUUGAAGUGUUGGUUAAAAGAAAUGAGAUUUAUAACUUGUUUUGAAAUCGAAUACUGAUUUUGGAAAUUGAGUAGGUGGAGACUAUAUACUUGUGUUAUCUAUAUAUAUAUAUGGUUUGAAUUGAUGGCUUAUGAUAAUGUGAUGACAUGAAUGGCUGGAUUUGUGGUUUGUGGAUUAUAUAAACUGUUUUGUUUUACCGUGACAGGCUGGGUAAUAUUAUAUUAGCCAUGUCAUGUUGUUGAAAUUUUUAUUGAUUUGGUGGGUUAUUUGAUUAGCUUACUGCAGUGGGCGGGUUUUCGUGGACCAACCUAUUAGAGGGGCACGGUAAACCCCGUUAUAUUUUACCUUAGGACGAGAGGCACGGAGGGUAUCUCCUAAGGUAAGUUUAGAGUUCACUUCACGUCGAACUACCACGUGAGGAUGAAACUCAGCCAACGCCAAGGAAUGACUAUAUUUUAAAAGUAAAAAUAUGUUUUAUGGGUAUAUGUCGUUUUAACAUCCUUGGCGGAUUCGGUUGGAUGCUCGGGCCAAGGUGUCACCGAGUAUGAGUUUUGGCACAAGCCAAAUUUUUAAGAGAAUCACAAGCCUUGUUGAUUAUUUCGAUAAAAUGUAAUUAUUUUAUAUGAAUUGAAAUGAGUUUUAAAUGUUAUGAAUCAUAUUAUAAUGGGAUGAUUUAACUGUCUCAAUUUACUCAGCUUUAGAUGUUGUAGAUGAACUUUGGUUACUCAUUGGGUUUAUAAAAACUCACCCCUUUUUUUUACCUAUUUUAGGCUCAGGACAGUCUGUAAACAGUCGAUUUUGUCGAGGGUUGCUUUUGGAUUUACAUCCUUAGAAAUCGAAGGUCUACAGUCUUGUAUAUUUUCGGUUAUUUUGGAGCCCACAUGUCAUUGUAGAAUAUUUUUGUAUACCUGGUUUAGUGUGCUAUUAUAUAUAUGAAUUUAUUUUACUCUUANUGAGUUUUCGUGGACCAGCCUAUGAGAGGGGCCCAAUAAACCCCGUUAUAUUUUACCUUGGUACGAGAGGCGCGGAGGGUAUCUCCUAAGGUAACAUUAGAGUUCACUUCACACCGAACCACCACGUGAAGGUGAAACUCAGCCAACGCCAAGGAAGGGCUGUGCUUUUAAAUGUAAAAAAAAAAUGAGUUUUAUACUCAUAUGUUAUUUUAACAGCCUUGGCAGACUCGGUUGGAUGCCCCGGGCCAAGGUGUCAUCGAGUAUAAGUUUGGUACGAGCCAAGUUUUAAGAGAGUCAUAAGCCUUGUUGAUUAUUUUUGAUGAAAUGUAAAUUGUUUUAUAAGGUUGAAAUGAGUUUUAAUGUUAUGAAUCAUAUUAUGAAGAGAUGUUUUAAUUGUCUCUAUUUACUCGGCUUUAGAUGUUGUAGAUGAACUUUGCUUACUCACUGGGUUUAUAAAAACUCACCCCUUCUUUCAACCAUUUCAAGCUUAGGGCAGUCUGUAGACCAUCGAUUUUGUCGAGGGUUUGCUGUUGGAUUCACACCCUUAGAAAUCGCAGGUUUACAAUCGUGUUUAUUUUGGUUAUUUUGGGGGCCUACAUGUCAUUGUAGAAUAUUUUAUAUACCUGGCUGCGUGUACCACUGUAUGUAUGAAUUUAUUUUGCUUUUACGCUACAAAAAUUAUUUACACAAAGUUCUAUAAAUAUUGUUUUAUAAGAAAAUAGAAUAUUUUAUUUAAUAUUUUUAUUUAAUUUGAAUAGCUAUAAUUUCACUUUAAAUUGAUGAAUUAGACAACGAAACUUAUUUUUAGACAUGAAAUCGAUGCUUAUUACUUGUAUAUCAUAUUUUUACCAGGGUUCGAAAAUUUUGGGUUAAAUGACCAAAAUACCCCUAUGUAGUAGAAAUUACUUAUUGAUUGUUUUUUAUUUCAAAUUAGUCUAAAUUUCUUUAAAACAUGGUAUUUAAUAACCGUUGCUCAUAGGGGAGAAGUAAAACUGAUGCGAAAACCUUGCAAGGUUAUGGAUGGCAUUUCGGGUAAUGAAUGUCAAUCGAGACAUUGUGGCAGUUGUCACGGGCUCGAUGGGAAUGCCGAGUCGUGACAUUUUUAUUUAAUAAUUUCUCAAGAAAACUUAUUAAAUAAAUUAAAAAAAUAAAAAAAGCUAAAAAAUUUGAUUUAAUUGGUUUUAACCGAUUUAAUCUACCAAAUUCAAUUAAUUUUAAAGUUGAUUAAAGCCUUAAAUUCAAUCGGUUCGAUUAAUAGUUUAUUGAAGUUUGUAAGUCAAUUAAUUGUAUUUCUUGACUGAAUUAACAGAUUGCUCACCUUUACUUCUCUCCACUGUCUUCUUUUUUCAUUUUCUCGAAUUAUGACGAGUAAUCAUCAUUUACCCCUAGUUGACUAGACUUACUAUUGUCGAAUUUACCAUGCAAGUGCAUGUAUCAUUAACAAGUAAUAUAAUAGAAAGUAAAGUUUGUUCCCAUGGCGAAUUGCCCAAAUCUUUUUGCUAAGUACUAAAAUUAACACAAUUUAAUCUUAUCCAAACAAGUAAAUUUAAAACUACUUAAAAUUAAAGAAACUAAAACUAAAACUAAAAUUGAAAGCAAAAAUAAUAAUUUAACUAGAAUCAAUCAACCAAAAGUCUAGAACCAUAAUAUCCUUUUAAUGUUUUAUCUGAAUUUUUUCUACUCUCUCUUUCCUUACUAGAUAGGCUCUAGUUGCUAACCUAGAGUUCUAAUAUAUUUAUAAGUCCCUUCCAAUGUUCUUAUAAAAAUAUCUUCCUUAACCAAUUUACUAUAUUCCUAUGCAAAUUGAAAUUAAGAAAGACUCAUUAAGCUUAGAUUGUAAUUAUGGCUACAUAUGACAUGUAAGUGUAUUCUUACUUUACACGGAAAUCAAAUCAAUCAUCUUAUGCAAUUAAUGUUGAACAUAUGCUAUUUCAUCCAUGGCUUACUCUAAACUCCCUCUUCUAGUUCCGUUUAAGUUUCCAAAUUAAUCUAAUUGAUGAUCAAACAAUUAGAUGCAUUAAGAAUAGGAUUGAAAUAAACAACUCAAACACUGUCAAUUAUAAGCAAGAAAGAAUAUUAAAAAUUCAAAUUACGCAUUGGGUUCAAUUGUGAUUCUAGAUUAAAAAUUUAGUUCCACAUAACUACUAAAAACAUCAUCCAAAAGAGAAAUUUAACCAUCAAAACUAAACAAAGAAAGUAUAAAGAUAACAAAAGAAGAAAGAACUCUAAGAUUUGUCAAGUCUUUGAUCCACAAUCUUUUUUAUUUUCCUUGGUCUCUUACUAACUUCAAUGCCACUUUUUCUUCAAAAAAAUCAUGAUCCUUUUCUAAAUGUGCUUCUAAAAUAAGGAUUAAAUAGAGCUCAAGCUCAUGUCAAAAUUGAAGUCAGAAUGUAUCACGACCCGGAACCUCCCUUAGGCCCAUGACAAUUUCCUCGACGUCCCGAUUGACACUCAUUAUCCGGAAUGCCAACCGAAACCUCGCAAGGCUUACAUAUCAGUUUUUUUCCUUUCCUGUGAGCAAUCGUUGUUAAAUUUUGAGUUUUUAGAGAAUAUACACUAUUUUAGAUAAAAAACAAUCAAAAUAAAAUUUUCGCCACACAGCGGUAUUUUGGUCAUUUUUUUCUCAAAAAUUUCGAAAUUGGCUAAAACGUAAUAUACAAGUACAAAACACAUAAUUCAUUUUCAAAAUGAGUUUAAAAGUCUAAAAUCUUCAUUUAAAAUGAAAUUACGGUUGUUUGAAUAUAAUAAGAAAGUAAAAGAAAUAUUAAGGGAAAUAUUCUAUUUUCUUAUAAAACAAUAUUUAUAGAGUUAUACGUGAAUAAUUUUUAUAGUGUAAAAGCUAAAUAAAUUUAUACAUACUGAAAUACAGUAAGCCAAAAUAUUUAAUUUAAUUUACAAUAACAAGAGGGCCCCCGAAUACACAAAAGUAAAGAGGACUGUGAACCUACGGUUUGGAAAAUGCAGAUCCAAUGGUAGUCCUCGAUGAUAUCAGCUAUCUACAGUCUAUACUGAACCUGAAAUGGGUGGAAAGGAGUUGGGUGAGAUUUUGCAAUCCCAAUGAGUAAACAGACAUUAUCAUAAAUAUCUAAAGGCGAGUAAAAUGGAGGCAAGUUUAAACAACAAAUUUCAACCCAUUUCAUAAUGUUUUCAAUUUAUUUCUUAAACCAUAAAAUAUUUGUAAUUUACCAAAACAGUUGUUAAGGCUUAUGUCUUUUAUUAAAACAAGGCUCAAGCCAAAACUAAUCCUCGGGGAUACCUUGGCCGAGGCAUCUAACCGAGUCCGCCAAGGGUGUUAAAAUAUUCACACGUGAAACACAUUUUUAUUUUUAAAACCAGCCGUUCCUUGGCGUUGGCCGAGUUACACAUUCACGUGGGGGUUCGACGUGAAGUGAGCUCUAAUACUACCCCGGGAGUUACCCUCCUCGCCUCUACAACCGGAGUAACUAUAUAACUGGGUUUACCGUGCCCCUCUAAUAGGCAGUCCACGGAAACCCGUCACUGCAGUGACUAACCCACCAAUUUUAAUAAAAUUUCGACAGUAUAACGUGGCUUUUAUUUAUUUAUCCAGCCUGCAUAGUAAAACAACUUACAUAAAUUUCCCAAUGCAUUCACAAAAUAUAGCCACAUAUACUCAUUUCUCAUAAGCCAUUCCUAGGAAAAUAUAUAUUUUUCAAGUCAAUUUGUAGCCUCCAAUUACUCAAUUUCAUAAUCAAUACAAUAUAUUUUUAUUUGUCACAUUUAUUCCUAAAACAUCAAAAAUCCCGUUUUAAUCUCGUUCUCAUUUCAUAAAAUACAUAAAGGGCAUUUAAAAUAAACUCUAGAUAAUUUACAAUAAUAAUAAGUUUACUCACCGUUUGUACAAACUAAAAGCUUUCUAAGCGCCCCGAUCACUACUCGUCGGGUACGACUUCUUUGCCUUUUCCGGAAGGCUCUCCUCCUAGACACAUUACAAAAAUUUACACAAUUCAUCACAUUGAUGCUAAAUCACUAUAUAAUUAACUUAAAUCCUAUACUAAUGCAUGGUAUGAAAUGCAAUAGCCUAAAACGGCUUAAACGCGGUAUUAACCUAUUUUUGGCACUUUGCCCGAUAAAUUGCUAACGCGCUCCAUUUUAGCUCUAAAUCAUCCCAUUCUCUCUCCAACAUUUCUAACCAUUAAAUAUCAGCCAAUAACCUUCUAAAAACAACAAAAUCAGCUCACUCCCUUCCUUGGAAAAUUCGGCCAAAAAUGGGACAUUAACUCGGUUAAUUUUCUACUUUGUUUUUCUAUCACGUUUAAUCGUUUUUCAUCAUUUUCUCUUCAUUUCCCUUAGAAUAAAAUCAAUUCAUCAUCAUUGUACAGCAUUGAGCAUCCAGCCAAGAGUGGGUAUUGUGAAAAUUUAAUGAUUUCUUGCCCAAUUUAAUUUCUAAACACAUUUAACUAACUAAAACUAUCAAUUUAACUAAAAAUCAAAACCUAAAAAUUUCAAUUUCUCUCCCCUAGAAUUUCGUCCAGCCCUUGAUAUCACUUUUUGAUCUCUCUCCUCAAGCAUGCUAAAUGGAAAUAAAGGCAUAGGAAAGGUAGAAAUCAAGCUAAAAUCGAAAAAUCUUACCGUUAGACGCGUAAACGGUCGAAAACCGCGAAUUUCCCUUUGAAUUUUCUUGUUUCUCUUUGGUUUUUCUUUUUUUCUUCCUUUCCUCUCUAUUUCCUCUCUUGUUCUUCCUUAUGGCCGGCCAGCACUUAAAAUUUGGGUUUAAAUGGGCUGACUUUUCAUUAAAAUAAUAUUAUAUCAUUAAAAAAUGCCACAUGUCACUUUCCCAUUGGCCCAUUUUUAAAAUUUCAUCCAUUUGUUUCCAAAUUUUCACCAUACACUUGUCUCAUAUAUUCAUAGCUUAGAUAAAAUUCUCAGACUCAUCCAAAGUCUCGGUGGAGUAAUUUUUGAAAUUUACACUUUUGCCCCCGUAAAAGUCAAAAAUUACAUUUUUGCCCCAAAAAUUGAAAAAUUGCCCAUAGACAUAUUUUUCAUCCCUUAUACUCAUACCAUUCUCCAAUUUGUCAAAUUUGAUCUAAAUUCUCUCAAAAUCUCAAAUUUUGUCCGUGGGUGGCAAAAUUACGAUUUUGCCCCUACACUCCAAAAAUCACCAGAAUUAAACUUUUUCACUUCCUAUCAUUAAAUUAUACUCCAAAUAGUUAAUCUUGGUCAAAAAUUUCACUCCAUGAUCAAAUUAUUAUCUUAGGUGGCAAAAUGACGAUUUUGCCCUUGAAUAUCAAAAUUUCUAAUUUUACCCCAAAUGAACCCUCGAACUCCGAACAAUCAUUUUUAGUCAUUCCUGGACUAUAAAAUAUUAAAUUUCAUCCUACAAUUCCUAUUUGAACUAGUUCGAGGUUAAAUCAAUUUAAGUGUACCGUUAGGUACAAUAUCAGGUUUCGUCUAUUCUUAGGUGCUUUUCUAGCGUAAUAACAUGCUACUCAAUGCAUGUAUGUCAUGACAUGUAUUUAUAGGGUCGGGUUUUACAAUUCUACCCCCCUUAAAAUAAAAUUUUGACCUCAAAAUUUCACUUACCAGAUUCGACAAAUAGAUGCGGGUAUUGGUUCCUCAUCUGAUGCUCUACUUCCCAUGUCAUUUCCUCCAUUCGAGCACUUUUCCACAACACUUUGACCAUUGAAAUACUCUUGUUUCUCAGUACUCGAUCCUUUCGAUCCAAGAUACUCACAGGUUGUACCUCGAACUUCAAAUCGUCAUGCAACUCGAUCGGAGGUGCUUCGAGGACGUGAGAGGGAUCUGGUACAUAUUUCUUAAGCAUGGAGACAUGGAAAACGUUGUGGAUCCGAUCUAACUCCGGAGGUAAUUCUAACCGAUAAGCCACUGGUCCAAUCCUUUCAAUGAUUCGGAAUGGUCCAAUAUAUCUCGGGUUGAGCUUUCCCCUCUUCGCAAAUCGAAUCACACCUUUCAUUAUCCAAUAAAACACCAUAAUUUAUCAUGAUAGUAUAAUCAAUAAGAUUUAAUACUUCAAAGUAUUCAAAUUAUUACCUUUCCAAGGAGAAACCUUAAGAAAAACUUUAUCAUCGAUCUCAAACUCCAAGUCUUUUCUCCGUUUAUCUGCAUAGCUCUUCUGCCUAUCCUGGGCUACCUUUAGCCUCUCUCGUAUAACCUUGAUCUUGUCAUUAGUUAGCUCGAUCAAUUCCACACUCACUAACUUCCUUUCACCUACUUCAUCCCAACAGAGUGGAGUACGACAUUUUCUUCCAUAUAAAGCUUCGUACGGUGCCAUACCAAUGCUAGACUGAAAGCUAUUGUUGUAAGCAAAUUCCACCAAUGGCAAAUGUCUGUCCCAACUCCCAAUAAAGUCAAUGACACAAGCCCGUAACAUAUCCUCCAAGGUCUGGAUAGUCCUCUCUGACUGACCAUCCGUCUGUGGGUGAAAAGCAGUGCUAAAUUUCAAUUUGGUUCCGAGAGCUUCUUGAAAUUUUGGCCAGAAUCGAGAAGUGAAUCGAGGAUCUCGGUCUGACACUAUAGAAACGGGAACUCCAUGUAGCCUCACAAUCUCAUCUAUAUAGAGCUGAGCCAGCUUCUCAAUAGAGUAUGUACUAUGGACAGCUAAAAAGUGAGCGGACUUAGUCAACCGAUCUACGAUCACCCAGAUCGCAUCCUUUCCCCUCUGUGUCCGCGGCAAUCCCAAAACAAAAUCCAUAGUUACAUGCUCCCAUUUCCACUCGGGAACAGGUAAAGACUGAAGUGUACCUGCUGGCCUCUGAUGCUCCGCCUUAACUUGCUGACAUACGAGACACUUUGCUACGAAUUCUGCUACGUCUCGCUUCAUACCCGGCCACCAAUAAUUCUCCCUGAUAGUCCUAUACAUCUUGGUGCUUCCGGGAUGUAAUGCAUAGGCAGAUGAAUGGGCUUCUUCCAUGAUCGCCUGUCUCAACUGGUUUCCCUCAGGAACACAAACUCGAUCUUUAAACAUCAAGACGUUAUCCUCUCCAAAUCUGAACUCACUAACUCCCCCAUCGGUCAGUUUUUGAAUUUCUUUUCUUAACUCAUCAUCAGACCUCUGAAUGUCCUUGAUCUGAUUAAGUAACGAAGGUCGCACAAUGAAGUUUGCCAAUAAGGAUCCAUCCUCACCAUUUCUCAACUGGACCCCAAGAGAUUUCAUCUCUAUUAAUGCUGGAAAAUAACAACUCUGAAGUGCUGCUAAAGACGAUGAAGACUUACGACUUAAGGCAUCAGCUACAACGUUCGCCUUUCCCGGAUGAUAGUCUAUCACCAAGUCAUAAUCUUUUAUCAACUCCAACCAUCGCCUUUGCCUCAAAUUAAGCUCCUUUUGGGUGAGCAAAUAUUUUAAACUCUUGUGAUCCGUAAAUAUCCGACAAUGCUCACCAUACAAGUAAUGCCUCCAGAUUUUUAAAGCAAACACCACUGCUGCUAACUCUAAAUCAUGGGUAGGGUAAUUUGCUUCAUGCCUCUUUAGCUGUCUAGAAGCAUAAGCCACAACUUUUUCAUCCUGCAUCAAUACGCACCCCAACCCCAACUUUGAGGCAUCACUAUAUACUACAAAUCCCUUACCAUUAACAGGAAGUGUUAAAACGGGAGCGGAGGUUAACCGGUUCUUUAGCUCCUGAAAUCGAUUCUCACAAACAUCAUCCCACACAAACUUAACUCCCUUACGAGUUAGACGGGUCAAAGGAGCUGCUAUUAAGGAAAACCCCUGAACAAACCUCCGAUAAUAACCGGCUAAUCCGAGGAAACUACGAAUCUCCGUCACUGUCUUAGGUUGCUCCCAUUGUAAAAUUGCCUCUACUUUCUUAGGAUCAACAUAUAUUCCAGUUCUCGAUACUACGUGUCCCAAGAAUACCACUUCCUGUAACCAAAACUCACACUUCGAAAACUUUGCAUACAACUGUCUUUCCCUCAAAGUUUGUAAUACUAUACGCAAGUGGGCAGCGUGCUCAUCAUUAUCUCUCGAGUAAACCAGUAUGUCAUCAAUGAACACAAUAACAAACUUGUCCAAGUAAGGGUGGAACACCCUAUUCAUGAGAUCCAUAAAAGCUGCCGGUGCGUUAGUUAACCCGAAAGGCAUGACCAAGAACUCAUAAUGACCGUACCGAGUCCUGAACGCUGUCUUGGGUACAUCCUGUUCUUUAAUCCUCAACUGAUGAUACCCAGACCUUAGAUCAACCUUGGAAAACACUGUAGCUCCCUGUAAUUGAUCGAAAAGAUCAUCAAUCCUCGGUAACGGAUACUUGUUCUUAAUGGUCAUUCUGUUAAGCUGUCGGUAAUCGAUACAUAACCGAAGUGUACCGUCUUUCUUUUUCACAAAUAAAACCGGUGCUCCCCAUGGAGAUAUACUAGGGCGUAUAAAACCCUUGUCCACCAACUCUUGCAAUUGUACUUUCAACUCCUUCAACUCUGCCGGAGCCAUUCUAUAUGGAGGGAUAGAAAUAGGUGCGGUACCCGGAAGUAAAUCAAUAGGGAACUCAAGCUCUCGAUCAGGAGGCAGUCCCGGUAAAUCAUCAGGAAAUACAUCAGGAAACUCACUUACUAUCGGGACAUCCUCUAACUUAGGUUCCCCCUUUGAAGUAUCAAUUACGUAUGCCAAAUAAGUCGGAUACCCUUUCUGCACUAAUUUUGAAGCUUUGAUGGCCGAGAUUACACAGGACGGUAAUACUCGGCGUUUCCCUACAAACACAAUCUCUGCUCCCUCCGAAUUUCGAAGAACAACUUCCUUUCGGAAACAAUCCACGUUCGCCCGAUGUGCAGUUAACCAGUCCAUACCCAAUAUUAGAUCAAAAUCCAGGAUCUCUAGAGGAAUUAAGUCACCCCUAAAUUCUUCCUCGCCUACCCUUACCCCACAGUCUCUAUAACAACUGUUUCUAACUAGCUUUUCUCCUAAAGGGGUGUGAAUUACAAUUUCUUCCUCUAAUGGUGACAAGUUUCUAUCAGCAAUUGAUGCAAAUGUGGUGCUCACAUAAGACCUAUCUGAGCCAGAAUCUAUCAAAACAUAAGCAUCUUUAUCAAAUAAAGACAUAGUACCUGUCACUGCUCCAGGUCGGACCUGUGCCUCAUCUUCCGUCACAGCGAAAACUCUUGUCGAGGUACGAGUCUGUGGUCUCGAAGGUGGAUGUGCCGGGGUAUUACUCUCCACACCGGACCGUAUGGCCACUCCCUGUCUCGGUGGCAACCCAGAAGAAUCUCUCCUCUGUAUAUCAGUGCGAGCUGGUGAAGAUGAUGCAACUACCGUGGCUCGUCCUAACCGUGGGCAAUUACUCCUAAUAUGACCCGUCUGUCCACAUUGGAAACAUCUUGUUGGCUCUCUACAUAGCCCACUAUGAUAAUUCCCACAAUUUCUGCAUCUGUCAGAACCUCCGAAACUCUUCCCAGAACCAGUCAUAGCAGAUCUGCUAAACCUCGAAGGUCUCUGUUGUGAUGGUGGAAAUGGAGGUCGAGGAGAUGUCACGGAAACAGAAGUAGUACUCCCUGAAAUCGCUGAGUCCUUGCCUCUUUUUACUGGCUGACUAGAAGACAUACCAGGAUUCCUCCUUUUUGCAAACUCAGUCCGAAUCCUCCUAUUCUCAGUCGCGAGCUUCUCAGCUCGUAAAGCCAUCUGUACCACCUCCUUAUGCGGCUCCCUACCAGUCACUGUCAUCCGCUCUCUAAUCUCAUUACGGAGCCCUUCCUCGAAAUAACUGGCCUGAUCCUGCUCAGAUUUCACCAGAUCCGGCACAUAUAACAUCAACUCGUUAAAACGAGUCUCGUACUCCUCUACAGUUAGAUUUCCCUGUUUCAAACUCAGAAAUUCUCUCUUCUUUUCUUUCUGAUGGAAAUAAGUGAAAUACUGACCAUCGAAUUCCCUGAGAAAAUCAGACCAUGUCUGAGGAGUAGCGGAACGGGACUUCACCGAAUUCCACCAAGUACGAGCCCUCUUCUCUAAUAAUCUCGUAGCCACCAUCAGCUUCAUGUCGUCGUCUAAUCUCAUAUCAGAGAGAGUCUCUGAAACCUGAUUAAUCCAGUCCUUUGCCACAGUGGCAUCCAACUCACCCGUGAAAGACACACAACCGAGCUGUCUAGCCUCCUUUAGCUUCUUGGAAAUGGAUACAUCUUGUACCGGUGGUGGAACUAAAGGAGUAACUGGUGGUACUAUAGGUGGAACUUGACCAGUCGGAGCUCCACCAGCCAUUGCGGUAAAGAAAGCUGCCAAUGCCUGUGCUGCCUCAGUAGGCAUGGUGGGAAUACCCGUAGGUGGCGGAGGAGGUGGAGGAUGUGGAGGACUAUCGGCCUGCUCAGCAGUAGGUGCUGCCCGAAUGGUAGACGCAGCCGAUUCUUCCCCUACUGCAUCUAGCUGACGACGUUGGGAACGACCUUUUCCCCUCCCAACCGAUCUAGUGAGAGGUGGGCGUCCGCGUCGAGGAGGCAUAAUAAUCUAUAAGAGAAAACGAGCAAGCUUAGGGAACCUUAGGCUCUAUAUGAAAAUGCAUGCAUUCUAUUCAACCUAACUUAACUUAAUCCGGGGCCACACUGAUAUUGUAAUUUUUUAAAACCACUUUAAAACCAAAAACUCUUAUCUUUAAAACCAAAAGCUCUGAUACCAAUAGAAUUGUCACGACCCGGAACCUCCCUCAGGCCCAUGACAAUCGCCGCGACGUCCCGAUUGACACUCAUUAUCCGGAAUGCCAACCGGAACCCCGCAAGGCUUACAUAUCAGUUUCUUUCCUUUCCUGUGAGCAAUCAUUGUUAAAUAUCGAGUUUUUAGAGAAUAUAUACUAUUUUAGAUCAAAAACAAUCAAAAUAAAAUUUUCGCCACACAGGGGUAUUUUGGUCAUUUUUUUCUCAAAAAUUUCGAAACUGGCUAAAACGUAAUAUACAAGUACAAAACACAUAAUUCAUAUUCAAAAUGAGUUUAAAAGUCUAAAAUCUUCAUUUAAAACGAAAUUACGGUUAUUUGAAUAUAAUAAGAAAAUAAAAGAAAUAUUAAGGAAAAUAUUCUAUUUUCUUAUAAAACAAUAUUUAUAGAGUUAUACGUGAAUAAUUUUUAUAGCGUAAAAGCUAAAUAAAUUUAUACAUACUGAAAUACAGUAAGCCAAAAUAUUUAAUUUAAUUUACAAUAACAAGAGGGCCCCCGAAUAAACAAAAGUAAAGAGGACUGUGAACCUACGGUUUGGAAAAUGCAGAUCCAAUGGUAGUCCUCGAUGAGAUCAGCUAUCUACAGUCUAUACUGAACCUGAAAUGGGUGGAAAGGAGUUGGGUGAGAUUUUGCAAUCCCAAUGAGUAAACAGACAUUAUCAUAAAUAUCU